rnacentral:rRNA from 1 species
AGAUUGAACGCUGGCGGCAUGCCUUACACAUGCAAGUCGAACGGUAGAGUAGCAAUACUUGAGAGUGGCGAACGGGUGAGUAAUAUAUCGGAACGUGCCCAGUCGUGGGGGAUAACGUAGAGAAAUUUACGCUAAUACCGCAUACGAUCUAAGGAUGAAAGCGGGGGACUCGCAAGAGCCUCGCGCGAUUGGAGCGGCUGAUAUCAGAUUAGGUUGUUGGUGAGGUAAAAGCUCACCAAGCCGACGAUCUGUAGCUGGUUUGAGAGAACGACCAGCCACACUGGGACUGAGACACGGCCCAGACUCCUACGGGAGCAGCAGUGGGAAUUUUGGACAAUGGGCGCAAGCCUGAUCCAGCAAUGCCGCGUGCAGGAAGAAGGCCUUGGUUGUAAACUGCUUUUGUACGGAACGAACGGUCUAGGUUAAUACCGUCGGACUAAUGACGGUACCGUAAGAAUAAGCACCGGACUAACUACGU